rnacentral:rRNA from 1 species
UUGAACGCUGGCGGCAGGCUUAACACAUGCAAGUCGAGCGGUAGCACAGGGGAGCUUGCUCCCCGGGUGACGAGCGGCGGACGGGUGAGUAAUGUCUGGGAAACUGCCUGAUGGAGGGGGAUAACUACUGGAAACGGUAGCUAAUACCGCAUAACGUCGCAAGACCAAAGAGGGGGACCUUCGGGCCUCUUGCCAUCAGAUGUGCCCAGAUGGGAUUAGCUAGUAGGUGGGGUAAUGGCUCACCUAGGCGACGAUCCCUAGCUGGUCUGAGAGGAUGACCAGCCACACUGGAACUGAGACACGGUCCAGACUCCUACGGGAGGCAGCAGUGGGGAAUAUUGCACAAUGGGCGCAAGCCUGAUGUAGCCAUGCCGCGUGUGUGAAGAAGGCCUUCGGGUUGUAAAGCACUUUCAGCGAGGAGGAAGGUGGUGAACUUAAUACGUUCAUCAAUUGACGUUACUCGCAGAAGAAGCACCGGCUAACUCCGUGCCAGCAGCCGCGGUAAUACGGAGGGUGCAAGCGUUAAUCGGAAUUACUGGGCGUAAAGCGCACGCAGGCGGUUUGUUAAGUCAGAUGUGAAAUCCCCGGGCUCAACCUGGGAACUGCAUUUGAAACUGGCAAGCUAGAGUCUCGUAGAGGGGGGUAGAGUUCCAGGUGUAGCGGUGAAAUGCGUAGAGAUCUGGAGGAAUACCGGUGGCGAAGGCGGCCCCCUGGACNAAGACUGACGCUCAGGUGCGAAAGCGUGGGGAGCAAACGGAUUAGAUACCCUGGUAGC